AUUUAUAUAGUUUAAAAAAACAUUAUAUUUUCAAUAUAAAAAUAAAAUUAUAAAUUUUUAUAAAUA
rnacentral:tRNA from 2 species